rnacentral:rRNA from 1 species
AGCGAACGCUGGCGGCAGGCUUAACACAUGCAAGUCGAGCGGACCUUUCGGGGUCAGCGGCGGACGGGUGAGUAACGCGUGGGAACGUGCCUUCCGGUUCGGAAUAACCCUGGGAAACUAGGGCUAAUACCGGAUACGCCCUUAUGGGGAAAGGUUUACUGCCGGAAGAUCGGCCCGCGUCUGAUUAGCUAGUUGGUGGGUAACGGCCUACCAAGGCGACGAUCAGUAGCUGGUCUGAGAGGAUGAUCAGCCACACUGGGACUGAGACACGGCCCAGACUCCUACGGGAGGCAGCAGUGGGGAAUAUUGGACAAUGGGCGCAAGCCUGAUCCAGCCAUGCCGCGUGAGUGAUGAAGGCCUUAGGGUUGUAAAGCUCUUUAUCCGGGACGAUAAUGACGGUACCGGAGGAAUAAGCCCCGGCUAACUUCGUGCCAGCAGCCGCGGUAAU